rnacentral:rRNA from 1 species
ACGAACGCUGGCGGCGUGCUUAACACAUGCAAGUCGAACGGUCUUCGGGGUUUACUUCGGAGAUAGUGGCGGACGGGUGAGUAACGCGUGGAUAGCCUGCCCACAGAACUGGGAUAACGCCGGGAAACUGGUGCUAAUACCGGAUACGUUGCCUGGGUUGCAUGACCCGGGUAAGAAAGGAGCAAUCCGACUGUGGAUGGAUCCGCGUCCCAUUAGCUAGUUGGUGGGGUAACGGCCUACCAAGGCGACGAUGGGUAGCCGGCCUGAGAGGGUGGCCGGCCACACUGGGACUGAGACACGGCCCAGACUCCUACGGGAGGCAGCAGUGGGGAAUCGUCCGCAAUGGGCGAAAGCCUGACGGAGCAACGCCGCGUGAGUGACGAAGGCCCUUGGGUCGUAAAACUCUGUCUUCAGGGAAGAAAAAAAUGACGGUACCUGAGGAGGAAGCCCCGGCUAACUACGU